GAUGAACGCUGGCGGCGUGCCUAAUACAUGCAAGUCGAGCGAAUGGAUUGAGAGCUUGCUCUUAUGAAGUUAGCGGCGGACGGGUGAGUAACACGUGGGUAACCUGCCCAUAAGACUGGGAUAACUCCGGGAAACCGGGGCUAAUACCGGAUAACAUUUUGAACCGCAUGGUUCGAAAUUGAAAGGCGGCUUCGGCUGUCACUUAUGGAUGGCCCCGCGUCGCAUUAGCUAGUUGGUGAGGUAACGGCUCACCAAGGCAACGAUGCGUAGCCGACCUGAGAGGGUGAUCGGCCACACUGGGACUGAGACACGGCUCAGACUCCUACGGGAGGCAGCAGUAGGGAAUCUUCCGCAAUGGACGAAAGUCUGACGGAGCAACGCCGCGUGAGUGAUGAAGGCUUUCGGGUCGUAAAACUCUGUUGUUAGGGAAGAACAAGUGCUAGUUGAAUAAGCUGGCACCUUGACGGUACCUAACCAGAAAGCCACGGCUAACUACGUGCCAGCCGCCGCAGUAA
rnacentral:rRNA from 1 species